UCCCCUAGUAACUGCGAGUGAAGCGGGAAAAGCUCAAAUUUAAAAUCUGGUGGUCUUUGGCUACCCGAGUUGUAAUCUAGAGAAGUGAUAUCCGCACUGGACCAUGUAUAAAUCUCCUGGAAUGGAGUGUCACAGAGGGUGAGAAUCCCGUCUUUGACAUGGACUACCAGGGCUUCUGUGAUACGCUCUCAAAGAGUCGAGUUGUUUGGGAAUGCAGCUCUAAAUGGGUGGUAAGUUCCAUCUAAAGCUAAAUAUUGGCAAGAGACCGAUAGCGAACAAGUACCGUGAGGAAANGAUGAAAAGAACUUUGGAAAGAGAGUUAAACAGUACGUGAAAUUGUUGAAAGGGAAACGCUUAAAGUCAGUCAUAUUGGCUAGGGAUCAACCUUGCAGCAAUGCUCGGUGUACUUCCUGGUUAAUAGGUCAGCAUCAAUUUUGACCAGUGGAAAAAGUUGGAGGAAAUGUGGCAUCUUCGGAUGUGUUAUAGUCCUUUGGCAUAUACACUGGUUGGGAUUGAGGAACUCAGCAUGCCGCAAGGCCAGGUUUUUAACCAUGUUCAUGCUUAGGAUGCUGGCAUAAUGGCUU
rnacentral:rRNA from 1 species